rnacentral:rRNA from 2 species
UAAGGAAUAUUGGUCAAUGGACGAAAGUCUGAACCAGCCAUGCCGCGUGAAGGAUGAAGGUCCUCUGGAUUGUAAACUUCUUUUAUCUGGGACGAAAAAAGGGAAUUCUUUCUCACUUGACGGUACCAGAAGAAUAAGCACCGGCUAACUCCGUGCCAGCAGCCGCGGUAAUACGGAGGGUGCAAGCGUUAUCCGGAUUCACUGGGUUUAAAGGGUGCGUAGGUGGGCAGUUAAGUCAGUGGUGAAAUCUCCGGGCUUAACCCGGAAACUGCCAUUGAUACUAUCUGUCUUGAAUACUCUGGAGGUAAGCGGAAUAUGUCAUGUAGCGGUGAAAUGCUUAGAUAUGACAUAGAACACCGAUUGCGAAGGCAGCUUACUACGGAGUCAUUGACACUGAGGCACGAAAGCGUGGGGAUCAAACAGG